GUGGCGUCAGCUUUGUUGUGGUGUACGCGUGAGUCUUGUGUUUUCUUGAACGCUUUUUUGGGCUUUAGGUGAACCAAAACUCUCCCAAAGCCUGUCCACAGUGGUCAGCAGCUGUGACACAAGGAGCAGCUUUCUCAGCGACGGGGAGCGGUGGACGGCGGAUGAAUACUUCGGCUCCCGCGCCUUCUUCUGCAUCAUGUCCGACCCUCUGACCCUGGUGGUGGGCGACGUGCGUCAGAGGAGUUGAAAAUGUAUGGGACUCGCUGCUGUGCCCUGCGUGUAGCUGUGAGGUGAAGUACAGACGGCUGCAUUGUCUCAGCCUCGGAGGUGCCACUUGUUCAAAUUACGAAUGGUUUAAUGUUAUUUUUUGCAGGCUGUGGAAUAUUGCAGUAUCUUAUAACAAGACAAAUGAUAUAAAAAAGCAUGUAAUUUACCGAUAAGCAUUACACAACAACAUUAUUGCGGUGAUAAAAUGUACUCCUGUAAAAUGCUACGUGGCAUCGUCUCUCAGCUGUUUUCAAGGUCGCAAGGGCAGGCUACCCACCCGCCCUCCUCCCUCGCUUUGAUGAUGCCGCGUAGCAUUUUACAGAAGUACUUUUAAUCACCGCAAUAAUGUUGUCCUGUAACGCUUAUCGGUAAAUUACAUGCUUUGUAAUCCCAUUUGUCUUGUUAUAAGAUAAUGUAAUAUUAAACCAUUCGUAAUAUGACUAAGUGGCACCUCCGAGGCUGCGACAAUACAACCGUGUGUCCGUCAUUUCACAGAGCACACCCACGAGUCCCGUACAUUUUCAAAUCCUCUGACGGGUAAACAAAGCCUUAAAAUGCAUAUGUGCAUAGAACAUUUUCUACUUAGAAUUAAACGUUUUUUCACCUCUUUCAGUAUUUGCAGAAACUCGCGUUACACCCUGUAUAGGAAAUUAGAGACGUCGCAGUGAGCGUUUUGAUACCAGAUAGGGCCAGAAUUUUUAAUUCUCGCCGGAAAAUAAAUAUUUUUUGGGGCAAGGUUUUACAAGCUUACAAAGGUGUAUCGUUGCACAGUAAUGCGUCUGAAUUUUAAGUCAAUUAAUUUCGUGAUAACUGACAGCACAUGACAUUGUUUGAGCCUCUAUUCAUAAUUUCAGAUGAUAUUCUUAAAAGAGCCUAUAAGUGUAUCAAGGCAGGCAAUCUGUAAUUUUCUACUGACCUCAAUGGAAGUAUACUAAUAUAUACUUGCAUUUUCAUGUACUAAACAACAGGCAAAUCCAUUUAAUGUAAAGAAAAUAUAAUUUUGUAUCAGAGACUUUAUUUUUGCGGUACGAUCACUAUCCUCGGGUACUUGGGCAGCGAGCAAACCAAAACACAGGACCACGCUUACUCGACUACCCUGCACAAUGGAUACAUCACCGCCACAAUCAUGGACUACAGCGGAAUUAAGAAAAUUCCCGAAAGAACGAGCUAUACCCUAUUCUGGAUAUAGUAAAGCAAAGUAAAGGCCUUUGUAUCGGCAGAACUGAGAGGCUAUUGUUUACACUUUACACUCCUUCCUAACGGCGUGCGGCGCUUUUUUUAACUGAAGAAUCAUGAUCAAGAUAAGUACGUCGUACGUCCGCCAGCGGUGCUGUUCUUUUUUUUAUUUCACUGAUUACUUUCAUAUACAGGACGUGUCAGUGAUAUCUGAUAUUUUUCAACAUUCCCAGAUAAAAUGCACAAGCCGAAAUCAACAUCCUUUUAUUUUUACUGUUCAUACUUACUUAAAAAAAAAAUCAUUACCUAUUUUUAGUUUUAUCUUAUAAUUCAAUUAACAAAGCCUUAUCAUACACCAGUAAGUAUGAAUAUUAAUAUUAAGGGUUAUGUUUUUAAUUUUAGAUACACUUGUGCAGCAAUUCAUGCUGUACUUUUCCUGCACAUCGAUUUCAAAUUUAGCUAAGACACCCCUUUGCCCCAGGAAAUCGCAGACAAUUAAAAAUGCUGGCGCUGAUAGGUAUCUACCAGCCUCACUGCCACGUCUCUAAUUGCAAGGUGGCGAACAAGUUGUCUCAGUAUAUCAACCACGGGAACAAUAGACACCUGUAACCGCUUCACUCAGGGCGUUCAAUCUCUUAUGCUUUCGGAUCCAAUACCUUACAUUCUUCAGUUAAAAAACUCAUUACCUUACACACACACACACACACACACACACACACACACACACACACACAC